rnacentral:lncRNA from 1 species
UUUUAUUUAUUUUCUUAUUCUUAUAAUAAAAUGAAAAACAAAAACAAAAAUAAACCCACCACACACACUCUCACACUCUCUCUCGGGUGUUAUCUCUUUCUUUUCCAAAAUUAAGAGAACACAUACACACACAUAUACACUCAAAACGUACACACACACACACUCAAAUUAUCCCACGCUUCCUUCUUCUCCUUUGCUCAAUGCAAAUGUUAAUUAGAAGAAAUAUAGACGAGGAAAAUUGUUGUAGGUCAAGAUCAAAAAUUGGUCCCAUCUUCUUCCAUUUUUUCUCGAGCUGCAGGUUUCCAAAGGAAAUAACAGCAAGUCUACGAUGGUGAUCUAUCGCCUCUUUUCUACUUCUCUUUUGAAUUGAGCCCUUCUUCCACAGACCUUACCCCCUUAUUUCCCUUAGCCACCACCAUUAGUCCAUCAUACCAUCUCCAACCUAUUUGUUUAUGACCACCCUGUCAUGCUUGUUCAUCGAUGUCGUCGGUGCUUGUUUAUCAUACGACACAGACAAUUUCAGAAAUCGAUAUCAAGUGUCUCUAGUUGUAGUUUUUGACUUAACACUCACAGACACAUACACACACACACACACUAUCGUCACUUGCCAACCCUAACAAAACCCACCUGAAAAUUAGAAAAGUAAUCAUUAAUUAGCAGUAAGAGGGUGUUUGGAUAAAUGCAUUUUUAGCUUAAUUAGCUUAUUACUUAUUGCUUAUUGUGGUGGGAAUAAGCAUUUUUUUAAAAUGUGUUUGGAUUAGUUUAUUGCGGUGGGAAUAAACAAUAAGCAAUAAGCAUUUGAAGUGUUUGGCAAACAAGACAACUUAUAUGAGUAAAAUGACUAAUAAGCAAUAAGCAAUAAGCAAUAAGCAUUACCCCCCUUGCUUAUUAAAAUCAGCUUAUUUAGCUUAUUCCCACCGCAAUAAGCUAAUUUUUUAAGCAUCCUAUCCAAACACUUAAAUUAGCUUAUUGUGGUGAAAAUAAGCAAUAAGCAAUAAGCUGUCAUUUUUUUCCCUAUCCAAACACCCUCUAAGUAUCGAGCAUUUUGUAUUCAGAAAAGAAAUAAUCGACCCACAUAUUGUUCACAAAUUCAUGGUAAUCGAGAAUCAAAGGCACCAACCAUAAAUGUCUUGUCUCAUCUGCAAGUUUCAACAAAAUCACCAUUGUUGCAAGUUGGUGUUCUCCAUUUGGUAAUGUUUUAAACUCACUCGGGUUAAUUACAAAUCAGGACAUGGAGAACCCAUAAUAGCUUGAAUAGACAAGGGUAAAUGUGUUAUGGGUGUUUAUGGAUUCAAAAUUUUACAGAAAUUCGAGAAACUAGGGUUUGGAUUGUGAUUGUAGGACUGUUUCCGGUGGUGGCAAGGAUGCACCGGUGACGACUAAAGCUCUGCCUUUAAUGGCUGGUGCGAAGGAUAAAGUGUAUGCAAGAUGUUAUGAACUGGGGGGAUCCAUAACCAAAAGGAGAUGAAGUGGCGAUAGUGUUAGGAGGGAUAACAUCAAAGAGAUGGGGAGAACCGGAGAAGAAGAGGUGUAGGGUUG